rnacentral:rRNA from 1 species
ACGUAGGAGGCAAAAAUUAUCCGGAUUUACUGGGCGUAAAGCGCGUGUAGGUGGUUCUGUAAGUAGGGCGUGAAAGCUCCUGGCUCAACUGGGAGAGGACGUUCUAAACUGCAGAGCUAGAGGAUGGUAGAGGGAGGUGGAAUUCGGGGUGUAGCGGCGUAAUGCGCAUAUAUCCGGAGGAACACCAGUGUUGAAAGCGGUCUCCUUGACCAUUCCUGACACUCAGACGCGGAAGCUAGUGUAGCAAACGG